rnacentral:misc_RNA from 1 species
AGAAGUUCUAUAUUCUGAAGUGUAUCUCGAGUGUAUCACUACCCGUUUCUAAAGAUAUUCUCGAUUUGUUAGACCAAAUAAUAACCCAACUGAAAAUCGUCAACUUUUGUCCUAUCUUUCUCCAAAACUUCUCAACUCGAAAAUCCCUUCCAAUGUCCAACUAAAACAAUCCAACCGUUUUUUCCAAUCUUUUUCCGGCCAGCCCCCAGAGAUGAAGAAAAGAGAGCUUUUAUAGUGGGAAUUUAAGGCUGGAAAAUGAGGGAAAAU